GACGAACGCUGGCGGCGUGCUAAACACAUGCAAGUCGAACGGAAAGGCCCUGCUUUUGUGGGGUGCUCGAGUGGCGAACGGGUGAGUAACACGUGAGUAACCUGCCCUUUACUUUGGGAUAACUUCAGGAAACUGGGGCUAAUACCGGAUAGGAGCUUCUGCUGCAUGGUGUGGGUUGGAAAGUUUCGGCGGUUGGUGAUGGACUCGGGGCUUCUCAGCUUGUUGGUGGGGUAGUGGCUUACCAAGGCAUUGGCGGGUAGCCGGCCCGAGAGGGGGAACGGGCACAAUGGGACGGAGGUAAGGACCAGAACUCAACCGGAGGCAAGAGGGGGGAAUUUUGCAAAAUGGGCCGGAGGCUGAAGCAAAAAACGCCGGUGCGGGAAGGAGGGCUUUGGGGUUUGAACCGAUUUUGACGUGGAUGAAGCCGGAGUGACGGUAAUUGGUAAAGAAGCACCGGCUAACUACGUG
rnacentral:rRNA from 1 species